rnacentral:rRNA from 1 species
AACACAUGCAAGUCGAACGGAGUUUGUCAGGGAGCUUGCUUCCUGACAAACUUAGUGGCGGACGGGUGAGUAACGCGUGGGCAAUCUGCCCGUAAGAGGGGGAUAACACCGUGAAAACGGUGCUAAUACCGCAUAACAUCACUGGAUCGCAUGAUCCGGUGAUCUAAGGAGUAAUCCGCUUACGGAUGAGCCUGCGUCUGAUUAGCUAGUUGGUAGGGUAACGGCCUACCAAGGCGACGAUCAGUAGCCGGCCUGAGAGGGUGAUCGGCCACUCUGGAACUGAGACACGGUCCACACUCCUACGGGAGGCAGCAGUGGGGAAUCUUCCGCAAUGGGCGAAAGCCUGACGGAGCAACGCCGCGUGAGUGAUGAAGGCUUCGGGUUGUAAAACUCCUGU